rnacentral:rRNA from 1 species
AGCAGCCGCGGUAAUUCCAGCUCCAAUAGCGUAUAUUAAAGUUGUUGCAGUUAAAAAGCUCGUAGUUGAAUUUCGGGAUCAGUAUGUUGGUCGUGCUUCGGUACGUACUGUCAUUACUGGUUUCUACCUUCUGAAGAACCUUGAUGUCAUUAAUUUGGUGUCUUGGGGAAUCAGGACUGUUACUUUGAAAAAUUAGAGUGUUUAAAGCAAGCAUACGCUUGAAUACAUUAGCAUGGAAUAAUGAAAUAGGACGUUUGAUUCUAUUUUGUUGGUUUCUAGGAUCGACGUAAUGAUUAAUAGGGAUAGUUGGGGGCAUUAGUAUUCAAUUGUCAGAGGUGAAAUUCUUGGAUUUAUUGAAGACUAACUACUGCGAAAGCAUUUGCCAAGGAUGUUUUCAUUAAUCAAGAACGAAAGUUAGGGGAUCGAAGACGAUCAGAUACCGUCGUAGUCUUAACCAUAAACUA